UACAGAGGUCUCAAGCGUUGUUCGGAUUCAUUGGGCGUAAAGGGUGCGUAGGCGGCGCGGUAAGUCGGGUGUGAAAUCUCGGAGCUUAACUCCGAAACUGCAUUCGAUACUGCCGUGCUUGAGGACUGGAAAGGAGACUGGAAUUUACGGUGUAGCGGUGAAAUGCGUAGAUAUCUGGAGGAACACCGGUGGCGAAGGCGGCAUCCUGGACCAACACUGACGCUGAGGAGCGAAAGCCAGGGGAGCAAACGGG
rnacentral:rRNA from 1 species